GCCUGGCUGGCUCAGUCAGUAGAGCAUGUGACUCUUGAUCUCAUGGUGGUGAGUUCAAGCCCCACAUUGGGCA
rfam:Canis lupus familiaris chromosome 20, whole genome shotgun sequence.